CAGCGUCACCGCUGCAGCAGCAGCAGAAGCACCAACUCGAGAACAGUGGGUUCCCUGGCAGCCCGCCGCAACAACCAGUACACACUGAUCCUGUGCACGUCAAACCUGAUAAAGAGAAGAUCAUCGAAUGCUAAUUAGUUUGUUUGCUGCUUGUGGACUUCAGAAGUUGAACUUUGCGCCGUGGUGCUCUGAAUGGUUUAUUGUUGAUCUGUGAUUUUGUGUGGCGUUCCGCUGAAAUGGAGUUGAAUGGGGAAAAAGCACAACUACAAAAGCGACUUUGAAAAACAAGUAUUUAUAGGCGGUACACCUGGGUGACCCUCAUGCACUGUGUCCGGCCUCAGCAGGAGUCCCUCCCCGCAAGGAAAAACACCUCGCCGUCCGGCUGUGAGUAUGAAAGCGUAAAAGUGUUUUUCAGCGUCGAAAUCGAAUGUCGAAAUCGAUGUCCAGAUUUAGUUUUGAUACGGCUCUGGGUUGCCAUAUCGCAUUAAGAUGGAUACCCUGUGGGAGGUGUUGCCAGGAAGUGUGAUGAGGAGGAUCCUUUCCUCUCCAGGAGCCAGCUAAUCAAUAUGCCUCCCAGACGCUCUUUUUCAGCCGGAGCACCACUUUCUUCAGACGCUGCUGACACAGUUCAAUUAAACUAGAGCCAGUUAAAAAAUGAAAUGAGGAUUCAGUGGGUCCUACUCAUUUCAAUUUCAGUACACUCAAGCUAUUUACCCGACUAUUUACUCGACGCCUCACACCGUCCUUUGAUAGAUCAAAACGUUACAAAAGUCAUAAUGCAUCUGGAUCAGCGCUUGAUUGCAGCCCAAUCUUACUCUCAAAGCUGCUUCGUGUGCACGUGUGUGUAUAUUUGCGCGCAUCGAGUUGUGACAAAUCACGCCUCUCACGGCGUAGUUACAUCUGUCAUCGCUCCAUCAGCCGCGCUCGGAAGGAGACAGAACAAGUGUGGAAAUGAUUAUAUCGAGGUGCCCAAAGCUGUACACAGGCGCCUGAUCAAUAUUCAAUCUCAGUUAUUUCAUCCCACAUUACCAUCCCACGCAGGGCCGCUCGAUGUCUGGAAGGCCCGUCGCAGCUCACUGAGACUGAGAAUCGCUUAAUCAGAGAAAGCAACUAGAUUCCGUGGCGUCAAUAAGUGCAUGUGUGCCUGUGUGUUUAAAGCAGGUUGAGAUGUUGUGGUUCGCCUUUGAUGCUGCGUGAAAAAACACCUGCAGGAUAUGAGACAAAUCAUUUUUAGUAGUUGUGCCGGUGUGCGUUUACGUGGGUAGAUGUGCGAUGUGUUGGUUUGCUAUUAGCUGUUGUUGUUUUCUUGGUGGUUAACUUCAGCCAGGGGAUGGAUGGAUGGAUCAGACAA
ensembl:lncRNA